CCCUUUCAUUCAUUAGAGACUUUCGCUGAAGACGGUACUUAUCAAUUUUCCGUUUUUCGUGGUACGUCUAGUUAUGAUAAAUUUGCAAAUUCGGAACAUCCGCUUGAAAAGAAAUUGAUGAAGUUGAUGUUAGAAGAAGAAAAAUUGACACCAAAUGUAAUGGAAGGAUUUGAAAGAGUUUGUAACAAUCGGAAACUAGCAAUCUACACGUCCGAGGAAGUACAGAAGAUUGCAUAUCUUAAAAUACCAUGUAACCUG